rnacentral:rRNA from 1 species
UUGCACUCCUUGAAGUUAGCGGCGGACGGGUGAGUAACACGUGGGUAACCUACCUAUAAGACUGGGAUAACUUCGGGAAACCGGAGCUAAUACCGGAUAAUAUAUNCCUCCGCAUGGAGGAAUAGUCAAAGACGGUUUUGCUGUCACUUAUAGAUGGACCCGCGGUGUAUUAGCUAGUUGGUGAGGUAACGGCUCACCAAGGCAACGAUACAUAGCCGACCUGAGAGGGUGAUCGGCCACACUGGGACUGAGACACGGCCCAGACUCCUACGGGAGGCAGCAGUAGGGAAUCUUCCGCAAUGGACGAAAGUCUGACGGAGCAACGCCGCGUGAGUGAAGAAGGUUUUCGGAUCGUAAAACUCUGUUGUAAGGGAAGAACAAGUACGUUAGUAACUGA